rnacentral:rRNA from 1 species
UACGGGGGUGCGAGCGUUAAUCGGAAUUACUGGGCGUAAAGGGCGCGUAGGCGGCCGAUCAAGUCAGGUGUGAAAGCCCACGGCUCAACCGUGGAGGUGCAUUUGAAACUGGUUGGCUUGAGUAUCGGAAGGGGAGAUGGAAUUCCCGGUGUAGAGGUGAAAUUCGUAGAUAUCGGGAGGAAUACCGGUGGCGAGGGCGAUUUUCUGGACGAAUACUGACGCUGAGGCGCGAAAGCGUGGGGAGCAGACA